GCUUUCGUGGUGCAACUGAUAGCACAUUCGGCUGGAAAUCGGAAGAUCCGGAGACAGAAUCCCAGCAAGAGCC
rnacentral:tRNA from 1 species